UCCGGUUUGUCACCGGCAGUCUCCCUAGAGUUCCCGGCCGAACCGCUGGCAACUAGGGACAAGGGUUGCGCUCGUUGCGGGACUUAACCCAACAUCUCACGACACGAGCUGACGACAGCCAUGCACCACCUGUCACUGGCCCCGAAGGACCCCGUAUCUCUACGAGUUUUCCGGCGAUGUCAAACCCAGGUAAGGUUCUUCGCGUUGCAUCGAAUUAAUCCGCAUGCUCCGCCGCUUGUGCGGGCCCCCGUCAAUUCCUUUGAGUUUCAACCUUGCGGUCGUACUCCCCAGGCGGGGCACUUAAUGCGUUAGCGCCGGCACUCGGAGGGUCGCUCCCCCAAGCACCUAGUGCCCAUCGUUUACGGCGUGGACUAC
rnacentral:misc_RNA from 1 species